rnacentral:rRNA from 1 species
AGAGUUUGAUCAUGGCUCAGGAUGAACGCUAGCGGCAGGCCUAAUACAUGCAAGCCGAACGGCAAGAGAAGUAGCAAUACUUUUCCUAGGGUGGCGUAAGGGUGCGUAACACGUAUGCAAUCUGCCCUGUACAGGAGGAUAGCUCCCCGAAAGGGGAAUUAAUACUUCGUAGUAUAAUUGAAUGGCAUCAUUUGAUUAUUAAAGCUUUGGCGGUACAGGAUGAGCAUGCGUCUGAUUAGCUAGUUGGUAGUGUAAUGGACUACCAAGGCGAUGAUCAGUAGGGGAACUGAGAGGUUGAUCCCCCACACUGGCACUGAGAUACGGGCCAGACUCCUACGGGAGGCAGCAGUAGGGAAUAUUGGUCAAUGGGUGAGAGCCUGAACCAGCCAUGCCGCGUGCAGGAAGAAGGCCUUCUGGGUUGUAAACUGCUUUUGUCAGGGGAUAAAAUUUCCUUGCGAGGAAGAUUGAAGGUACCUGGCGAAUAAGCCACGGCUAACUACGUGCCAGCAGCGGCGGUAAUUC